UACGUAGGGUGCAAGCGUUGUCCGGAAUUAUUGGGCGUAAAGAGCUCGUAGGCGGUCUGUCGCGUCUGCUGUGAAAUCUCAGGGCUUAACCCUGAGCUUGCAGUGGGUACGGGCAGACUAGAGUGCGGUAGGAGAGACUGGAAUUCCUGGUGUAGCGGUGAAAUGCGCAGAUAUCAGGAGGAACACCGGUGGCGAAGGCGGGUCUCUGGGCCGUAACUGACGCUGAGGAGCGAAAGCAUGGGGAGCGAACAGG
rnacentral:rRNA from 1 species